UUGCAUGCAGGGAAGACACAAUGGCUACCCUCACCUGGUUUAGCCGGACAGUCAAAGCCAUUCCUGGACCGCUGUCACACACCAACAGCUUUUAGGAGUCACAGAAUGAGAAGCAGUAGAUUCCCCAUAGGCCCAUGCAAUACAUGCAGAAGGAUGGAGGAUUCAGAAAGGAGGCAAGUUAUAUAAGAGGACAUGAUGUGUUACAGCAGUAGUCCUCAACCUCUGGGACCCACGUAUGAGGUUUAAGUGGCACAUGUGUGACCCACCUUAGGUGAGGUAUGGGUCCUGGCCCCACCAAUUCCUGAACCAUCUUGCUCAAGGAGAACUUCCGUAAGUAAAUUAAGACCAUACUAUUGGUCAAGUGCAUACAGUGCUAGGAGCAUAUCAAUGUGAACUCAUCCUUAGGUUCACAUUUAUAGAGUCAAGCUGGUAUAUGUAAUUGAAAAUGAGGGGAAAUCAUUUUGAGACAUGUUAGCGUACAUUUCUGUGGGAAAUGUUACACAAGAACAGAGAAUAACCCGCUGUAACAGUAUGCUGCUAGUGUAUAGCGGCAAGCAUAAUGAAUUGGCAGCUGUAUUACUUGGGAAAGCAAGUUUUCUAACAAAGGAAUUAAGGCUGAAGGGUAAUUCCCAAGGAUAAAAUUAUUACUGAUGUUAAAAGGCAUAAGCCCAAUUCUGUUUACUCUGCAAUGUUAUCUCAUGGUGCUCAAUGACACUUAUUUCCAGGCAUGAAUAUGCAGCUUCAGUGUCAGGGAAUUGCAGCAAGCAUACAUAUGUUUACCCAACUAGAAAUCUUAGGAUAUUUGUAGUACAGAAAUACUAACCUACCAUGAGUAGUUCAGCAAGGUUGUAUACAAAGCUGAAUUUUCUGUGAUUGCACAGGAACAAAACACAACAUUGAGAAAGAAGAGUAUCCUGGCCGAAAACUCAGGAGGAAGAUGGUAUUGAGAAUUUCUCGUAAUGAAGCCUUCAAUACCCUCUUGCACAAGCCCUACCCUUCAUUGGAGCUUCUGGCCCCAGAUGGUAAUGUGAUGUAAUGUCUGAAAAGGGUUCCCCAUGUCAGCUCUAUGACAGGCAUGUACACAGAACUAUACAAAGCCGAUAACAAAGUUUUUCAUGCAAGUUGUAAAUGUGAACUUUCUUCGUCCAACAGCAAUGUGAAUCUUUGCUCCUGAAUUACUUUGACCUGAAUGUAGUGCUAUGCAUCUUGAGCUGUAAAACCAAGGUUGUAACUCUCCUCUUAGCAUGAAGGGAGGUUGGAUGAGUGAACAGAAGAGAAGGGACACGUUCUAUAUCCCUUUUUGUUAUCCAGGUUUUUUGAAUAUUUUUACUGGAUUGUCAGAAAUUCCAGCUUUAAUUCUACGCAAGACUAAAAUCACGAACUUCUUUUGAAGGUUUUGUCAUUUGAGCAUUACCCUACCUGUGCAUUCAGUAUCAAAAUGUGUGUACCAACCAAUUUUUAUGGCAAAAGAAAUCUGUAUUCAGAGAACACAUCAGACCUGCAUUACUCAUUCAGCUAAUGAUUGUGUUAUAUUGGAACUCACAAAAAAUACUUUGCUAGGCUCUUUCCACUGUAUUGCACCAAAGAAAAACAAAAUUAAUGGGACGUUGGUUAAGAGGGUCUCACACGUAUGGUACUUUGCUUGUUUAUAACAGACCAUUUUUUGUAUUUGUCACAGAAUACUAUUGGCCAUGCAGAAUCUUCCUUUUCCCAGUGCUAUAUGUUCAGCUCUUAGGGUGCACUGACCAAAUUUUACCAAGUCUCAUUAGCCUCCACAUAGCUGAAAUCCAGUUGACGUUUCAGAGCUGAAAUGACUGCAAAGAAGUUGUCAUUGGCAGAGACCUGGUUCUAGCAAUAAGCUUUAAGGGAUAUAGAUCAAGAAGUCUUGUUACCAGAUAUUUUGCUGUUUGAAUAUCCAUGCAUUUUCUCCCCAGCAGGAAAGAAGAGAAUCUACUUCUAUCUUUAGUCAACCUCAUUCUCGUCUCCCUUACUAGUAACAUGGUCUUGAAUAACAUGCCAGCUAAGUGAAUUUUUUUAGUAUAAAGGCUGAAGAAUUGCCUAAUUUUUUUCUCCCAAGUUAGUGGAAACUUUUAAUGUGAUGGGUAAUUGGAUAGAAUAAAGACUUAACAUAAACAUCAAUUGCUAGGUAAAUCAUUUAACCAGAGCAUGGGUCCCUUUCAACUUCCUACUAGGUCACUUUCCAGCAGUAAAGCAUCAAGUACCUGCAAAAUCAGAGGGUGAAGGUGCAUAUACUUACUUCCCACUCCUCCUAGUUCAUACUGACAAUGGCCAAAGGUAGGCUCCUACCUGCUCCAUUUUUCUCCCAAGGAAGAGCUGGUCACACAAGGAGCAGUUUUCCACAUGAUGAAAUUUCCACAUGAUGAAAUUUUAUUCCUCUUAUUUGAGAUGUCAUUGUCUCAAUACAUAUUAUUAGACAUGCUUUCUAGCACUAAUUGCUGCCAUUGGGAGUAUUUAGAAAUUCCAUGCAGGCCUGUUUGACUGCAAUAUCAGCUGACAGCAUUUAUUGGUUUGAUAUAAGCCACCUUUGGUACCACAGGUAAAUGCGAGGGUGGGACACACACCUACAAGUUUGCCCCUUCACUGCUAGUUCCAUGUGAUUACUUGAAUGAAAUGUACUCUUCACAUACUUCUUUCUCCACCACAAAAUGUACUUUGUCCAUAAUGUAGUUUUCCUAAUGUGCAAUUUGAAAGACUACAGGAUUUUAACACAAGAUAUAUAAUUGUGUUCUUGGACAGUAUCUUUAGGAAUACUAUAUAUAAAAUCAUUUUCCUAAUGACUGGCUAUUCUGCGGUUUGUCAAUCUAUGCAGAGAAAAAAGAAUGCAAAUAUUGCUGCUGAAGUGAUGUAUUUGACAAUUCUACAGUUUAAAUGAUACAGCAAUUAACUUUGUAUAAUACAGUUGUGGUACAAUAGUCAAUGUUCAGCUUUUAUUCUUCCACAUUUGCCUCUGUAAUGUUAAUUUGUACUAUGUAUCUGAAAAAUAAACCCCAAACAAAAAACUUCAGCCAAACUCCCCUUCCUCCUCCAGCUUUAUUGAUAGUUUAAAAUUACAUUUCUAUAUUCUAGGACUUCAAUUGCUUUUACCAUCUGACUUUAAAAACUGAUUACAAGCAAAUGAAACUCAACAGUUGUCUAAGUGAUAUAGUAUACAAAAAUAACAUCUUGAUUUCUGUGAAAAUGCAUUUCUUUGCAAGUCCUGAAUAGCUCCAAAUUGUGUAUGCUCUAAAGCACUGAUGUUCUGGGUUUGAUUUAAUUUGAAAUAUUUAAUGUUUCCCAUUACCUUGUUAUCUCAUAUUAGACAUUCACUUAUUGUAUUACUGUUACUUCAGUUCUCGAUUUCUCCCUCACUCUCGUGGCCAUUAACAGGCAUGUGCAUUGUUUUAUUUAUCCCACUUAGCUAUAUGCUCUAGGUAAGGCCUGAUACAGAUACUCGGUGUUAUAACAGUUAUUGAGGUCAGAUAAUCCAAGGCCAUUAUUGUAAUUAGUUACUGUGGAAGUUCAGACACUUCCAGUUUGUUUUCCUCCUGCAUAUGAUCACUUCCAUGGAACCCAGGGAGG